rnacentral:rRNA from 1 species
AUACGGAGGGUGCAAGCGUUAUCCGGAUUCAUUGGGUUUAAAGGGUACGUAGGCGGAUAGAUAAGUUAGUGGUGAAAUCCCGAAGCUCAACUUCGGAACUGCCAUUAAAACUGUCUAUCUUGAAUUUGGUUGAAGUGGGCGGAAUAUGACAUGUAGCGGUGAAAUGCAUAGAUAUGUCAUGGAACACCGAUAGUGAAGACAGCUCACUAAGCCAAUAUUGACGCUGAGGUACGAAAGCAUGGGUAGCGAACAGGAUUAGAAACCCGUGUAGUCC